AAAAGGAAUUGCAAGCUGAGGCUGGGGUAGUGGUUGGGUGGUAUGUGGGAAAGGAAAGUCUCUUUGAGAAGGUGACAUUUUUACAAACUUGGAGGAGCUUCCAGCUGUGUGAUUGUGACAUCUUGACAUCCUGCCCAGUGAAGCCAUCAGGUGAUGGCAGCCUCAGCCAACAUGUGACUGCAACAUGGAUGCUGCCACAGCAUGGCCUGACAAGUGGUGUGUAGGUCCAUGCCCAGCACCUGAACCGACGAACCCUGGGCCGCCGAAGCAGAACAUGCCAACUUAACCACUCGACCACAGAGCUGGCCCUUUGUGAUCUUUUUAAUAUCUGCCUGAAUAGAAGACAGCUGAAUUUUCAUAUCUCUUCUGCAUUUAGUCUACUGUUAUAUAUUGCUUUGGUUGAAGGAGGUGAAGGAAAAUCAGCCUCACAGAGACAUGUAGGAAAAGGGACUUCCUCAGAGACCCCUUGAAGGGAUCUUGGGGGCCCCCAAGGAUCCUCAGACCACACUUUGGAAAUUGCUGAUUUAAAUUCAUAAAACUGGAUGAAAUCCCUAAGGGAGAAGAGAAGAGACCCAAGGACUCAGCCCCGGGCGUAGAGAUUUCAAGAGACCAGGGAGAUGGAGACAAACCAGCAAAGGAGACUGAGGUAGGAGGAAAACCAAGAGGUGGUGACCUGGAAGCCAAGCGGAGAAGGGUUUGUGCGUGUGUAUGCUGGUAGACCCUGAAUGGAUCCCUCCAAGCCAGACUGAUGGACAAGCCAGUGGCCUGAGGGAGGUGGCACAACCUGGGGCUGCAGGUGGAGACCGAAGAAGAUUCAUUGCAGUGUCUUGGCACAGGGACAACAGCAGGGUGCCUUCACAAGGAAGACCAGGGAGAAGAACUCAGCAGCCCUGGUCCUGAGCUCACAUUGACAGCUCUUCUGUGAGGGGCUGAGUCAUGUGGAGCUUGGCAUCCCCACUCUCUGGUAACCCAUCACUGUAUGACCUUGUGAAGUAGCCUCAGGCCAGAGUGGCCAGGGCAGCACUGGGAGUUCCUAAGAUGGAGACAGGGCAGCAGCAUUUCCCCAGCUGAUCUCCCCUGUGAACUGCUGGUCUAGAGGCACGUUAAGGGAUUGGUAUUCCAGGAAACACAUGCUGAUUCAUGCAGAUAUAAAACCAGAGGAGAUGGAAGGGACCUCUGAGGAUAUGUUGGUUCACUGGUUCUCAUCUGGGGGCAUUGGAAUCACCUGGGUACUUGAAAAUACAGAGCCUUGGGCCCCAUCCAGACCUACUGAAUUAGAAUCUCUGAUGACGGUGAGGGUCUGGCAUGCAUAUUAUUAUUACUUUUUUUUUUUUUUUGAGGAAGAUUAGCCCUGAGCUAACAUCUGCUGCCAAUCCUCCUCUUUUUGCUGAGAAAGACUGGCCCUGAGCUAACAUCUGUG
rnacentral:lncRNA from 1 species